CCUGAACCCAGGAAAGCAUGGAGAUAAGAUAUUACAAGCAUUCAUAAAUAAAAUGAUAAAAUGUAACUGGUUUGAGCGCAAGAUUGUGUCAUCAUGCCACAUCUGUCAUUUGGAGUGUGAGAGGAAUGUACCAUAUUAUGACAUAGCGGUUGAGACUAGCAAGAAAUAAUUCCUACAGAACACCACUGCAUCAAAGU